rnacentral:lncRNA from 1 species
AUGGCAGUAGGAAUGGCUGGGGACAGUGAGAAAUGGUCGUGGCCGUGAACUCCGCUCUGAAGGAAAGACUGCUCACCACCUGCAUGUUUUAAGCAGGCUCCGUCCAACUAUACGAGUGCAGCCCUCUGGGCAGGAUAUUGUUGAGAACUAUGCUGUGACUCCAUUUUAGUGGCCAUGCAAGCCGUAGGCUCCCUGGCCCUUAUGUGUGCAUGUAACAGGAGUGCCUGAGAGGAUAUCCUGGCUCUUUGGAGGUCCUUUCUCUGCCUCUUUUUCCUCUCUACUGUAAUAUCCUUGUUGUUCAGAAAGAAAAUGAGAAUCUCCCACUAGUUAGAAUAUGUCCCUAAGUAUACACAGUUUCUAUUCUGGAGGAGCCAAGAAAGGAACAAGAUUCUGACUGGUUCUAUCAGGCUUCAAGGAAAACGCUGUCCAGUGAAAUUGUCAAGACUUGGGUUCCUUCUCCCACUGCUGUGUCCUGGUGCAGGUCAUUACCCCCAGCCUGACAGGUUGUCACAAGUGCUUCAGCUGACAAGAGCAAACAUUGUGACAGAAGUUGACACCCGGAGCAGUAGGAAAUGAAGCCAAGGAGGUCAGGGCUUUGCCAAAUGGACAAAAGGGAGUUGGGGAGAAUUUUUCAGCAAAGAGUAGAGUAUCCAAAAGCCUCUACAUGGGAAUGACUAAGGAGGACUCUGAAAUUGGAUUCUAAAUUCCCUAAGGUACCAAUUCCAAGAUCUGCUGCCAGUAGUUUCUGAAAUGCCAGAUCUGAGUGCCAGAGAAAGCUGGAAAGCCAGUCAGCCAGGACUGCAAGUGCCAGAAGAUUACAAACACAGCCACUCGGUGCAGCUUGCUGGAGAGCUCCGUGCCUUCUCAUUUCUGCCAAAUGAAUGUGGCCAUCAAGGGAUAGCUGGAAAGACUGAAUAUUUCUCAGAAGACCCAUGAGUGGCACAGCUCCACUUCCUCCCUGAUGCUGGAAGAUAGAAGUGGCUGAGGGAUGUCCAGAUGGAUGAGCUGAGCUGGCACUUC